UGCCAAGCCUAAUGACAUAGAUUCAAUCC
rnacentral:piRNA from 1 species